rnacentral:rRNA from 1 species
UACGGGGGGGGCAAGCGUUGUUCGGAAUUACUGGGCGUAAAGGGCUCGUAGGCGGCCAACUAAGUCAGACGUGAAAUCCCCGGGCUCAACCUGGGAAUUGCAUUCGAUACUGGAUAGCUAGAGUUCGGCAGAGGGAAGCGGAAUUUCGGGUGUAGCGGUGAAAUGCGUAGAUAUCCGAAGAACACCGAUGGCGAAGGCAAAGUCCCCUGGGCCUGCACUGACGCUCAUGCACGAAAGCGUGGGGA